rnacentral:misc_RNA from 1 species
UACAGAGGCCCCGAGCGUUACCCGGAAUUACUGGGCGUAAAGAGUACGUAGGUGGUCAUAUUAGUCGGCCGUUAAAUAUCCAGGGCUCAACCUUGGAAACCCGGUCGAAACGGUAUGACUCGAGGGCGUGAGAGGUAUAUGGAACUCUAGGUGUAGGGGUGAAAUCCGUUGAUAUCUAGGGGAACACCGAAAGCGAAGGCAAUAUACUGGCGCGUUCCUGACACUCAAGUACGAAAGCGUGGGUAGCGAACGGG